rnacentral:rRNA from 1 species
GACGAACGCUGGCGGCGUGCUUAACACAUGCAAGUCGAACGAUGAACCCGGAGCUUGCUCCGGUGGAUUAGUGGCGAACGGGUGAGUAACACGUGAGUAACCUGCCCUUGACUCUGGGAUAACUGCGGGAAACUGUAGCUAAUACCGGAUACGACCCUCGGCGGCAUCGCCAGGGGGUGGAAAGAAUUUCGGUCAAGGAUGGACUCGCGGCCGAUCAGCUAGUUGGUGAGGUAGCGGCUCACCAAGGCGACGACGGGUAGCCGGCCUGAGAGGGUGACCGGCCACACUGGGACUGAGACACGGCCCAGACUCCUACGGGAGGCAGCAGUGGGGAAUAUUGCACAAUGGGCGCAAGCCUGAUGCAGCAACGCCGCGUGAGGGAUGACGGCCUUCGGGUUGUAAACCUCUUUUAGUAGGGAAGAAGCGAAAGUGACGGUACCUGCAGAAAAAGCACCGGCUAACUACGUGCCAGCCGCCGCGGUAA